CCCUGUAGAAAGCCUCUGAUUCACACCACCAGAUAUGCAAAUGGACUUCAAGGGAACCUCUGUUUAUUUAAGCAGGACAUGAGCUCCAAUUCCAGAGCAGUGGACAGAAAACCAGGUCCCCAAAUCCUCUCUCCUCAACCUUUGGGUCUUGAACCACUGGAUGCUGUGGGCUUCUCUUCAAGAUGAGCUUCCUAGCCUGGUUCCUCUGUCUCCUGGUGGUGGAUUUUUGGGCCACCAGCGGGCGCACACUGAUGACUCAGUCUCCAGCCUUGGUGUCCCUGUCUCCAGGAGACAGCAUCUCUGUAACUUGCAGAGCCAGUGAGACUGUCAGUGAUUAUGUGACCUGGUAUCAACAGAAACCAGACAAAGCUCCCAAGAUCCUCAUCUAUGAUGCUGAUAACCAGUAUCCUGGGGUCUCAGAUCGUUUCAUAGGAAUUCAGUCUGGGACAGAUGUCAUUUUCAAAAUCAACAGAGUAAACGCAAGAAACUUAACCCUCUCAGAAGUUAGCUUGCUCAUUGUAGGGAAGAAGAUAGAAACAGAUUCUGAUGCUCUGUCUCUUUUAACACCUGCUUGUUCAUUCUUCAAUUCAUUUAUUCAAAGCAGAUACAAUUAA